rnacentral:rRNA from 1 species
CGAAAGGGAAACAGCCCAGACCACCAGUUAAGGUCCCCAAAUAUAUGUUAAGUGGAAAAGGAUGUGGGGUUGCUUAGACAACCAGGAUGUUGGCUUAGAAGCAGCCACCAUUGAAAGAGUGCGUAAUAGCUCACUGGUCGAGUGACCCCGCGCCGAAAAUGUACCGGGGCUAAACAUAUUACCGAAACUGUGGAUGAACCUCUUUAGAGGUUCGUGGUAGGAGAGCGUUCUAAGGGCGGUGAAGUCAGACCGGAAGGACUGGUGGAGCGCUUAGAAGUGAGAAUGCCGGUAUGAGUAGCGAAAGAAGGGUGAGAAUCCCUUCCACCGAAUAUCUAAGGUUUCCUGAGGAAGGCUCGUCCGCUCAGGGUUAGUCGGGACCUAAGCCGAGGCCGAUAGGCGUAGGCGAUGGACAACAGGUAGAGAUUCCUGUACCAGUGCUAAUUGUUUAACCGAUGGGGUGACACAGAAGGAUAGGGAAUCGCACGAAUGGAAAUGUGCGUCCAAGCAGUGAGUGUGAGAAGUAGGCAAAUCCGCUUCUCGCGAAGCAUGAGCUGUGAUGGGGAAGGAAAUUAAGUACGGAAGUUCCUGAUUUCACGCUGUCAAGAAAAGCCUCUAGGAAGAGUAGUACUGCCCGUACCGCAAACCGACACAGGUAGAUGAGGAGAGAAUCCUAAGGUGAGCGAGAGAACUCUCGUUAAGGAACUCGGCAAAAUGACCCCGUAACUUCGGGAGAAGGGGUGCUCUAUUAGGGUGCAAGCCCGAGAGAGCCGCAGUGAAUAGGCCCAGGCGACUGUUUAGCAAAAACACAGGUCUCUGCAAAACCGUAAGGUGACGUAUAGGGGCUGACGCCUGCCCGGUGCUGGAAGGUUAAGAGGAGUGCUUAGCUUCGGCGAAGGUACGAAUUGAAGCCCCAGUAAACGGCGGCCGUAACUAUAACGGUCCUAAGGUAGCGAAAUUCCUUGUCGGGUAAGUUCCGACCCGCACGAAAGGCGCAACGAUCUGGGCACUGUCUCAACGAGAGACUCGGUGAAAUUAUAGUACCUGUGAAGAUGCAGGUUACCCGCGACAGGACGGAAAGACCCCGUGGAGCUUUACUGCAACCUGAUAUGGAAUGUUUGUACCGCUUGUACAGGAUAGGUAGGAGCCGAAGAGACGUGUGCGCUAGCAUACGAGGAGGCAAUGGUGGGAUACUACCCUGGCUGUAUGACCAUUCUAACCCGCCACGCUUAGCGCGUGGGGAGACAGUGUCAGGUGGGCAGUUUGACUGGGGCGGUCGCCUCCUAAAGAGUAACGGAGGCGCCCAAAGGUUCCCUCAGAAUGGAUGGAAAUCAUUCGCAGAGUGUAAAGGCACAAGGGAGCUUGACUGCGAGACUGACAAGUCGAGCAGGGACGAAAGUCGGGCUUAGUGAUCCGGUGGUUCCGCAUGGAAGGGCCAUCGCUCAACGGAUAAAAGCUACCCCGGGGAUAACAGGCUUAUCUCCCCCAAGAGUCCACAUCGACGGGGAGGUUUGGCACCUCGAUGUCGGCUCGUCGCAUCCUGGGGCUGUAGUCGGUCCCAAGGGUUGGGCUGUUCGCCCAUUAAAGCGGCACGCGAGCUGGGUUCAGAACGUCGUGAGACAGUUCGGUCCCUAUCCGUCGCGGGCGCAGGAAAUUUGAGAGGAGCUGUCCUUAGUACGAGAGGACCGGGAUGGACACACCGCUGGUGUACCAGUUGUUCCGCCAGGAGCAUCGCUGGGUAGCUAUGUGUGGCAGGGAUAAACGCUGAAAGCAUCUAAGCGUGAAGCCCCCCUCAAGAUGAGAUUUCCCAUUUCUUCGGAAAGUAAGAUCCCUGAAAGAUGAUCAGGUAGAUAGGUUUGGAGUGGAAGUGUAGCGAUACAUGGAGCGGACAAAUACUAAUCGAUCGAGGACUUAACCAAAA